AUUUAGCGUUUUUCUGUUAUUGUGAUGAAUGCAGAGAGAGUGGAGAGUUUCGUGAUUUCUGGAAUUUUUCAUCAGAAGAAGAGGGUCGAUCUGAGAGUCAAGAUCAAUUAAACAGAAUGGUGUGAAUGGCCAUUAUGAAGCUGAACGAUGAAGGUUUGUGAAGAUGAAGUAGAGGAGAAAGAUUGAAGAAUGGAGAAGGUGAAGAACUCUGAAAAC
rnacentral:lncRNA from 1 species